rnacentral:ncRNA from 1 species
CUUAUCAAGAGUGGCAGAGGGAACGGCCCUGUGAAGCCCGACAACCUGCGCGAGAGCGUAAGGUGCCAAAUCCGUCGGCGGAAGUCGAAAGAUAAGA